GACGAACGCUGGCGGCGUGCUUAACACAUGCAAGUCGAACGAAGUGGCGAACGGGUGAGUAACGCGUCAUCAACCUGCCCUUCAGAGGGGGACAACAGUUGGACACGACUGCUAAUACCGCAUACUGAAGGAGGGGAUUGCGUCUGAUUAGCUAGUUGGUGGGGUAACGGCCCACCACGGCGAUGAUCAGUAGGCGGGCUGAGAGGAGGAACGGCCAAAUUGGGACUGAGAACCGGCCCAGACUCCUACGGGAGGCAGCAGUGGGGAAGCUUCCGCAAUGGGCGAAAGUCGGACGGAGCAACGCCGCGUGAGUGAUGACGGCCUUCGGGUUGGAAAGCUCUGUUAAUCGGGACGCGGUACCGGAAUAGAAAGCCACGGCUAACUACGUGCCAGCCGCCGCGGUAAUAC
rnacentral:rRNA from 1 species